rnacentral:rRNA from 1 species
UACGUAGGUGGCAAGCGUUGUUCGGAAUUACUGGGCGUAAAGCGAGUGUAGGUGGUUGUCGUAGUCAGGUGUGAAAGCCUUGAGCUCAACUCAAGAAAUGCACUUGAUACUGGGCAGCUAGAGGACCGGAGAGGAUAGUGGAAUUCCCAGUGUAGUGGUGAAAUACGUAGAGAUUGGGAAGAACACCAGUGGCGAAGGCGGCUAUCUGGACGGUUUCUGACACUAAGACUCGAAAGCGUGGGGAGCAAACAGG